UGGGGAAUAUUGCACAAUGGGCGCAAGCCUGAUGCAGCCAUGCCCCGUGUAUGAAGAAGGCCUUCGGGUUGUAAAGUACUUUCAGCGGGGAGGAAGGCGAUAAGGUUAAUAACCUUGUCGAUUGACGUUACCCGCAGAAGAAGCACCGGCUAACUCCGUGCCAGCAGCCGCGGUAAUACGGAGGGUGCAAGCGUUAAUCGGAAUUACUGGGCGUAAAGCGCACGCAGGCGGUAUGUCAAGUCGGAUGUGAAAUCCCCGGGCUCAACCUGGGAACUGCAUUCGAAACUGGCAGGCUAGAGUCUUGUAGAGGGGGGUAGAAUUCCAGGUGUAGCGGUGAAAUGCGUAGAGAUCUGGAGGAAUACCGGUGGCGAAGGCGGCCCCCUGGACAAAGACUGACGCUCAGGUGCGAAAGCGUGGGGAGCAAACA
rnacentral:rRNA from 1 species